AACGAAGGACCUAUGGGUGAAACGCUUUAAUCAAUGCGUAUUCAAGCCAAGUUUACCUUCGGAAAUUCAUAAUCGGAGAUUGGUGGAUUUAUCCGAGAUCUGUGUUUUCAAUUCCGGAUUUCGGUUUUUCAUCCCUUAUGGAUUUGGUUUUCGAUUAAAUUC
rnacentral:snoRNA from 1 species